rnacentral:rRNA from 1 species
GUACGGGAGGCAGCAGUAAGGAAUAUUGCGCAAUGGGGGAAACCCUGACGCAGCAACGCCGCGUGAGUGAGGAAGGACUUCGGUCUGUAAAGCUCUGUUAAUGAGGAAAAAUGGUAGUUGGUCUAAUAGGCCGAUUAUUUGAUGGUACUCAUAGAGGAAGCACCGGCUAACUUCGUGCCAGCAGCCGCGGUAAUACGAAGGGUGCAAGCGUUGUUCGGAUUUAUUGGGCGUAAAGCGCGCGUAGGCGGACCUGCAAGUCAGAUGUGAAAUCUCGAGGCUCAACCUCGAAACUGCGUCUGAAACUACAGGUCUAGAAUCUCGGAGGGGGAAGGGGAAUAUCGCAUGUAGGGGUAAAAUCCGUAGAUAUGCGAUGGAACACCAGGGGCGAAGGCGCCUUCCUGGACGAGUAUUGACGCUGAGGCGCGAAAGCGUGGGGAUCAAACAGGAUUAGAAACCCUUGUAGUCCU